rnacentral:rRNA from 1 species
UAUCUUCAUAGAGGAGUUGUGCUAACAAAAGACAACCUCGCACGACGCAACUGGCCAGGUGGUAAGAAGUGUUGUUUGUGCACUCAUAACGAGACAAUCAAACACCUCUUUUUCCAAUGCAAAUUUGCGCGUUCUAGGUGAUUAGUCAUUCAAAUACCAUCGAAUUUGUAUCCGCCCAUAAGUGUUACCAAUGUUUUUGGUCAUUGGUUGGACGGUAUUCUAAAUAGGUUCGAAAUGCUAAUAAGGGUGGGAGCGUACGCCUUACUAUUGUCGCUUUGGCUAUGUAGAAAUAAUUUGAUUUUUAUUUUACAUUGUACGCACUUGUUUCGUACGUGGUCUAUGUUACAACGAGCGGAGUACCGACCGCUAUUCAAGACGGUAUGUACGUGGUUGGAGAAGGUGGCUACGAAGGUUUUUACCCAACAUGGGUGGCAACAUAAUCUUUGGUUCAGUCCAUCAGCCAUUUUAAUAUAG